UCCAGCCCACAUAACUUCAUUAUUUAACACAGUUUAAAUUUUAUCUUUAUGUUUAAAUUGUGUGUGUGCUAUGUCUGUAGGUGCCCAUAAAUGCAGUGCCUGCCAAGGACAGAAGAGGACGCCAUUUCCUGCAGCUGGAGUUAUAGGAUGUUGUAAGCCACCCCACAUGGGUGCUGGGAACUGAACUUGGGUCCUCUGGAAGAGUGACAAGCACCCUUAACUGGGCCACAGUGACACAAACAGCCGGAUGCUGGCACGUGCACAGCCGGGUGGACCAAUGGGCCAGGCAGAGAUAAAGCCACAUAGCUGUGUGCAUCUGAAGCUCAGCGAAGAUGCCCAGAGCAUGCAUUGGAGAAAGGACAGCUUCUGCUCACACGGUGCUGGAAAAGUCGGAUCCUUGACUCUUGCUCAGCAGAAAACCCAACUCAGGAUGAAUCAAAGGCAGGAGUGUUAAACACAACGAUUUCAAAGGCCAUCCCAGAGGGCGUACUUCAAGACACACAGGCAUAGGCUUUCUGCAUAGGACUUGAGUGGCCCAGGAAAUAACAGCCAGAAUCGACAGUGACAUGAGAUCAAAAACCCACAUAGCAAAGGGAGCUAUUUACUGCCCUCUAAAAGGCUGCUCUGUACUUCCGUGGAAUCUACAGCUUUCUUCAGAUUUACUUUAACUACACAGUUUCUGUUUCUUGUAAGUCAGUAAGGCCAGCAAGUAAGAUACCAAUAUGCACUAGGGCCCAGCUAAGUUGUUCCUUGGCAGGAUGAGAUGGAGGGACCUCAGGAAGGCCAUCUGGGCAGGCCUUGUACAAAUGGAAUCCGCUACAAUGUCACCUAUGAUGACAUUGAAUGGGAGGCCUGGAGUGAUGGUUUAGUGACUAAGAGCACUGGCUGCUAUUUCAGAGACUGAGUUUGAAUUCCCAGCACCUACACAGCAGUUCGUGACUGUAACUCAAGCUCUAGAGGUUAAGCACCAGGCACUCAUGUGGUCCUAGACUUUGUCUUGGUUAGAGCUACUGUUGCUGAAAUGGCCAAAAGCAACUUAGGGAGGAAAUGAUUCUUUGCCUUAUACUUCCAUGUCCCUGUUCAUCACUGAAGGAACUCAGGACAGGAACUCAAGUAGGGCAGGAACCUGGAGACAGGAGCUGAUGUAGAAACCAUGGAGGAGUGCUGCUUACUGGCUUGCUCCUCAUGGC
rnacentral:lncRNA from 1 species